rnacentral:rRNA from 1 species
UACGGAGGGUGCAAGCGUUAUCCGGAUUCACUGGGUUUAAAGGGCGCGUAGGCGGGUGCUCAAGUCCGUGGUGAAAUCCUCCGGCUCAAUCGGAGAACUGCCAUGGAUACUGGGUGUCUCGAGGGUGAUAGGGGUAUGCGGAACUAUCGGUGGAGCGGUGAAAUGCGUUGAUAUCGAUAGGAACUCCGGUGGCGAAGGCGGCAUACUGGAUCACAUCUGACGCUGAGGCGCGAAAGCCAGGGGAGCAAACGGG